CGCAAGCCUGAUCCAGCCAUGCCGCGUGUGUGAAGAAGGCCUUCGGGUUGUAAAGCACUUUUGUUGGGGAAGAAAGCUGCCGGGCGAAUACCCUGGCGGGAUGACGGUACCCAAAGAAUAAGCACCGGCUAACUUCGUGCCAGCAGCCGCGGUAAUACGAAGGGUGCAAGCGUUACUCGGAAUUACUGGGCGUAAAGCGUGCGUAGGCGGUUGAUUAAGUCUGCUGUGAAAGCCCCGGGCUCAACCUGGGAAUGGCAGUGGAAACUGGUCAGCUGGAGUGCGGUAGAGGAGGGUGGAAUUUCCGGUGUAGCGGUGAAAUGCGUAGAGAUCGGAAGGAACAUCCGUGGCGAAGGCGACCCUCUGGACCAGCACUGACGCUGAGGCACGAAAGCGUGGGGAGCAAACAGGAUUAGAUACCCUGGUAGUCCACGCCCUAAACGAUGCGAACUGGACGUUGGGCACACUUAGGUGCUCAGUGUCGAAGCUAACGCGUUAAGUUCGCCGCCUGGGGAGUACGGUCGCAAGACUG
rnacentral:rRNA from 1 species